rnacentral:rRNA from 1 species
UACGUAGGGGGCUAGCGUUGUCCGGAAUCAUUGGCGUAAAGCGCGUGUAGGCGGUCCGGUAAGUCCGCUGUGAAAGUCGGGGGCUCAACCCUCGGAUGCCGGUGGAUACUGUCGGGCUUGAGUACGGAAGAGGCGAGUGGAAUUCCUGGUGUAGCGGUGAAAUGCGCAGAUAUCAGGAGGAACACCAAUUGCGAAGGCAGCUCGCUGGGACGUUACUGACGCUGAGGAGCGAAAGCGUGGGGAGCGAACAGG